GUUUGUUUGCAGCAAUAUGUUACUGAGCUCAUCAGUAUAAGUUUUAUAUAUUCAGUUGAAUGUGUGUGGUGAUAUUAUGCAACAGUAUAAUACAUGGAAGGAUGCAGAUGUGUUUCAGGCUGCAGCAUACAGCAAAUAUCUUAGGCACAUUAGUUGGAAGCGUGUCCAGCGUUGGGUCAGAAUAGCUUUAUAAAUCAGUUGACUGCAAUUUGCAAAUGAAUGAAAAGUUCUCUGUAGCCAUAAGGAAAUAAGCAGAUCAGUAAGUAGUGUCUGAGGGGAGGGCCAGCUUCACCAGAAGUAGGCCAGUUUGUGAGUCAUUUUGCUCUGGCAAACGGCCAGGUUUUGUGUAUUCCAGACACCAGAUGGGAAGCAAUUAUGGAUGUGACAAGCAGGUCAUCUGGCAGACACGCUGUGGACCUGCUGCUGCUGUUGCAUAAUUUUUGGCGGGAAGAAGAAAACUUUCCUUUUCAAAAAAAACAACCAUCUCUUUCUAGUCCUUUCAGCAGCAGAACGGCAAAGAGAGAAAACUCCUCUCCUGUCCAGAUCUCUCCCUCCGAAGGUUAGACGAAAGGGAGGAAGAAACUCGGCACCUAUUCAGAUCUCCCCAUCUGAUGGCAGGACCAAAUGAAGGAAACUCACUGUAAGUCUGGAUCACCCUUUUGGGGCCAUGUUAAAUCUAUGUACAGAGUACAGUUCUUUGACUGGCCUGAAAAAGAGGAGUUAUGUUAUCUGGGACAAAUUAGCUUGGCUGACUCCAGCUGAGUUCAACAACAGAGCCCCUCCAAUGAAUACACGUUGCUAAUUGCAUUACAAAAUAUGUAUUACCCAUAAAGAAAGCAAUAGAACGUGUAUGUCUACACAGCAAAGAAAAACUCAUGGCUGGCCCGUGCCAGCUGACUCAGGCUCGUGGGGCUCGGGCUGUGUGAUGGGGUGACAACCCCACACAAGACUGAAAGGGGUUAUGGUAGCCAGGCUGGCCAAUUAAUUCCACAGGCUGCACCUGGAGGAAAAGCCAGGGAGCAGGGAACUAAU
rnacentral:lncRNA from 1 species